rnacentral:rRNA from 1 species
CCUACGGGGCGCAGCAGUGAGGAAUAUUGGUCAACGGGCGCGAGCCUGAACCAGCCAAGUCGCGUGAGGGAUGACGGUCCUACGGAUUGUAAACCUCUUUUGCCGGGGAGCAAGCGUGCGUUCGUGAACGCGCGUCGAGAGUACCCAGAGAAAAAGCAUCGGCUAACUCCGUGCCAGCAGCCGCGGUAAUACGUAGGGGGCAAGCGUUAUCCGGAUUUACUGGGUGUAAAGGGAGCGUAGACGGCUGUGCAAGUCUGAAGUGAAAUGCCGGGGCCCAACCCCGGAACUGCUUUGGAAACUGUACA